CCCCUAGUAGCGGCGAGCGAAGCGGGAAGAGCUCAAAUUUAUAAUCUGGCACCUUCGGUGUCCGAGUUGUAAUCUCUAGAAAUGUUUUCCGCGUUGGACCGCACACAAGUCUGUUGGAAUACAGCGGCAUAGUGGUGAGACCCCCGUAUAUGGUGCGGACGCCCAGCGCUUUGUGAUACAUUUUCGAAGAGUCGAGUUGUUUGGGAAUGCAGCUCAAAUUGGGUGGUAAAUUCCAUCUAAAGCUAAAUAUUGGCGAGAGACCGAUAGCGAACAAGUACCGUGAGGGAAAGAUGAAAAGCACUUUGGAAAGAGAGUUAACAGUACGUGAAAUUGUUGGAAGGGAAACGCUUGAAGUCAGACUUGCUUGCCGAGCAAUCGGUUUGCAGGCCAGCAUCAGUUUUCCGGGAUGGAUAAUGGUAGAGAGAAGGUAGCAGUUUCGGCUGUGUUAUAGCUCUCUGCUGGAUACAUCUUGGGGGACUGAGGAACGCAGUGUGCCUUUGGCGGGGGUUUCGACCUCUUCACACUUAGGAUGCUGGUGGAAUGGCUUUAAACGACCCGUCUUGAAACACGGACCAAGGAGUCUAACAUGCUUGCGAGUAUUUGGGUGUCAAACCCGGAUGCGUAAUGAAAGUGAAUGGAGGUGGGAACCGCAAGGUGCACCAUCGACCGAUCUGGAUUUUUAAUGAUGGAUUUGAGUAAGAGCACGUAUGUUGGGACCCGAAAGAUGGUGAACUAUGCCUGAAUAGGGCGAAGCCAGAGGAAACUCUGGUGGAGGCUCGUAGCGGUUCUGACGUGCAAAUCGAUCGUCAAAUUUGGGUAUAGGGGCGAAAGACUAAUCGAACCAUCUAGUAGCUGG
rnacentral:rRNA from 1 species